rnacentral:misc_RNA from 1 species
GUGUGCUUGAAAAGUAAAUUGAUCAUCACAGAAAUGUAAUGAUUGCAUUGGAAAAGUAAACCGAGCACUUGACUAAAAAUUAAAUCUGUGCAUUUGAAAAGUAAAUUGAUCACUUUGUAGGAAAAGCAAAUUUGUGUAUUGAAAAUGUGAAUUCAUUGCUUUGCAGAAAAGUAAAUUUAUCACUUGGAAAAGUAAAUCUGUGCGUGAAAAAAAUAAAUGAUCGCUUGAUAAAAAAUUAAAUCAUCACUUGAAAAAUAAAUUGGACAUUGAGAAUUAAAUGAGCUGAUUGCUUAAAAAGAAAUAUGAACAUAAAAGAUGUAGAUUGCAUUAAAAAUUGUAAAGAUCGCUUACAGG